rnacentral:lncRNA from 1 species
GACCUCAGAGAAAUUUAGCGAUGUACUUUUCUUUUGAUAACGUGGCAUGUACCUAAGUAAUGUUUAUACCUAAGUGAUGUAUAGGGAUUAGUCAAUUUGAAUGUUUGUAUCUAUGAUAUUGCUAAAGGAAGAUGUGUGAGUAUGUGAUAAUGUUUGGCUUUUAAAAUGGUUAAGUAUGAAUAUGUUUGGUAAUAUGUAUGUUUAGAUGAUAAAUCAUGCAUGGAAAUCAUGAAAGAGUAAAAAUUUGUAAAGAAACAGAUUUCAAGCAGCUACAGUGAUGUGACUUUGAAAAAUCACCUAGGAUAGUAUAAAAUUAAUUAGAGGGUGAAUGAUAUAUGGAAUUAAAUCUUGUUGAGUCUAUUUUCAUGGAAA